UCGGCAGCUCCAGGCUAUUCCGAGGAACAGUCUUCAGAGAGCCUGGGGUGCUGAUGGGGAAAAGCUGUUGCUGAGAUUUGACAAGUUUGGUCCUGAGAUGUCAGAAAGGAUUUCAGCUCUUCUGCCACCCCAAGGACGGUGGCGCGUAAAUCACAGUGAGCUGGCUUAUGUCAGAGGACAAUGAAUCCAGGCAGUGAUCCACCAAUGAUAACUAACAUCAUAAAAAGAUACAUGGCCGGAUAUGAUGUUCCUUCUGACGGAAGACCACAACACCUGCUGAAAAAUCAAAUCUGAAUCGGAUCAAGCCUCUAGAGGAGGCAGCACCCAGGGUCAUUCCUGGAGCAUAAACGAUCCCUGCAGAACAUGGGCUAGAAGACCCCACAGUGGGGCAGAGGCAGGUCCUGGACUGGGAUCCCAGCAGUGAGAAGACCUGGACAUCAACCCUAUUUCAUUGUGCCUCUGCAAAUCUCCCAACUUUUGGAGCUGUAGCUGCAAGCUCAGACUUGUGGUUUCCUGUACCUGGAGGAGGCCCAGGUCAUUCUGUUAAGUCCCUUGUCUAUUUCCUGCUUUUAUCUGGAUGCUGAGUUAAUUAUUUGAUCCAACAAUAAAACUAACAAGGUUUUAUUUGUUUUUAAUGUCUUCUCUUUGCUGAACGCUGUGCUGGGUGCUGUAGCUGACAUGGUUUUUGUCUUAACA
rnacentral:lncRNA from 1 species